AACGAACGCUGGCGGCGUGGAUAAGACAUGCAAGUCGAACGAUCACUAUUGGGUAGCAAUAUUUGGUAGUGGGAGUGGCGCAAGGGUGCGUAACACGUGGGUAAUUUGCCGUAAAGUCUGGGAUAACUUGCUGAAAGGCGAGCUAAUACCGGAUGUGAUUGCUGGGGGGCAUCCUCUGGCACUUAAAGUCGGGGACCGUAAGGCCUGACACUUUUCGAUAAGCCCGCGGCCUAUCAGCUAGUUGGUGAGGUAACGGCUCACCAAGGCUAAGACGGGUAGCUGGUCUGAGAGGACGACCAGCCUCACUGGAACUGAGACACGGUCCAGACACCUACGGGUGGCAGCAGUCGAGAAUUUUUCUCAAUGGGGGAAACCCUGAAGGAGCGACGCCGCGUGGGGGAUGAAUGGCUUCGGCCCGUAAACCCCUGUCAUUUGCGAACAAACCUUUCGGUUUAAUAGGCCGAAAGCUGAUAGUAGCGAAAGAGGAAGGGACGGCUAACUCUGUGCCAGCAGCCGCGGUAAU
rnacentral:rRNA from 1 species